CAGCCGCCACGGGAAUACGUAGGUGGCAAGCGUUGUCCGGAAUUAUUGGGCGUAAAGGGCUCGCAGGCGGUUUCUUAAGUCUGAUGUGAAAGCCCCCGGCUCAACCGGGGAGGGUCAUUGGAAACUGGGAAACUUGAGUGCAGAAGAGGAGAGUGGAAUUCCACGUGUAGCGGUGAAAUGCGUAGAGAUGUGGAGGAACACCAGUGGCGAAGGCGACUCUCUGGUCUGUAACUGACGCUGAGGAGCGAAAGCGUGGGGAGCGAACAGGGUUAGAUACCCCCGUAGUCCCUGUCUCUUAUAC
rnacentral:rRNA from 1 species